GAAAGGCUGUAUGGGUGCAUACAGCUGGGUGUCUAUGCACACCCCAGUCAGA
rnacentral:ncRNA from 1 species